GCGUCGGUGGUAGAGUGGUCAAUUACAACAGGCUGUAAACCUGUCGCCCAUUGGGCUACGUUGGUUCGAAUCCAACCCGGCGCA
rnacentral:tRNA from 1 species